UCAAGCAGUAUGCAGUGUACAACAAACGUAACUUUCACAGAACCCAAAACAAAACCUACAUUUUUCUUUUGUGCUCAGCAGAAUUCCUCGUGGACUGCCGUGAAUUUGUUGCUUGAGUGCACCUUAAUUUGUGCGAGCCCGACGGGACGACGGGAGGUCGCUCCGCACGAGUCGGAAUGGACUCAAAAAGGCUCCUUUCUGUCCUUGAUAACAUCUUCAGCGUAUUCAGGACUGCAAUUUAUUAUUUUUCACGCCGUAAAAUAACUGUGGAACUCGGUCGGUGCUCAUUGGACGGAGAGCCUCUUUGCGGAAAAGGGAAUACGUUAAUGUGCUCUCGCCUGUAACUCCAGCGUAUCGUGUGACCGGAGCAUUCGCAGCCUUUGGGUUUCACGUGUCGGAGUGUUUGACACCGUGUGAGAUUGGCAGGAGACGUUUUUCGGUCUGCGGGGGUAUUUAUGUUUUUGAGUGGCAUGUUGUGGGAUGUUUUCUGGAUGUGAGGACAAUACAGUUAUUAAAAUUGCCCGGAUGUUAUAUGAGAGGCUGUAAAAAAAUGUAAAAAAAAUCCCCACAUUUUUGACAUUUAUUCUUCCCCAAAAUUCAAUCGUCAUUGAUUUUUUGUGUGCAUUUUAAUGUUUAAAAAAAAUAUAAUUCACAAACUCACAUUAAACCAUAAACAAACACAUUUAGUUUCUACUUUUUAAGAGACUCAGUAUUUAGAUGCAAUUGAGACAAAUGCAGCAGCAGUGACUUAAAUAAAAUGACUCUACCUGUGUGUGUGUGUGUGUG